UACGUAGGGUGCAAGCGUUAAUCGGAAUUACUGGGCGUAAAGCGCACGUAGGCGGACCAGCAAGUCGGAUGUGAAAUCCCUCGGCUUAACCGAGGACGUGCAUCGGAAACUGCUGGCCUUGAGUACGAAAGAGGAUCGCGGAAUUCCCGGUGUAGAGGUGAAAUUCGUAGAUAUCGGGAGGAACACCAGUGGCGAAGGCGGCGAUCUGGGUCGAUACUGACGCUGAGGUGCGAAAGCGUGGGGAGCAACCAGG
rnacentral:rRNA from 1 species